rnacentral:rRNA from 1 species
ACGAACGCUGGCGGCUGCUUAACACAUGCAAGUCGAACGGAGUGGCGAACGGGUGAGUAACGCGUGAGCAACCUGCCUAUGACAGGGGGAUAGCCUCGGGAAACCGGGAUUAAUACCGCAUAGUCAUAGAUGGGCUCGGGUCGGAUUAGCUAGUUGGUGAGAUAACAGCACACCAAGGCGACGAUGAGUAGCCGGUCUGUGAGGAAGAACGCCGACAUUGGAAGUGAGACACGGUCCAAACUCCUACGGGAGGCAGCAGUGGGGAAUAUUGCACAAUGGGGGAAACCCUGAUGCAGCGACGCCGCGUGAACGAAGAUGGUAUUCGUAUCGUAAAGUUCUGUCCUCUGGGCAUCAGUACCUUAGAAGAAAGCUCCGGCUAACUACGUGCCAGCAGCCGCGGUAAUUC